CUUUUUAUAAUUGAAAAAAAUCUUAAUAAAAAGCUGUAGGUACAAAUUAACUUUCCUGCACAUUUUCCUUGUACACAUUUGCCUUCAAUGUGUUACCUCCCCUGGAGUCAACAACAAAGAGUCAAUGGAGCAGCUGACAAAGCAGGAGUUCAUGGCAGGAGAGGGAAAAUAUUUCUAUAGAAUCUCAAGAAAGCCUUUCCAUGUGGGCUGAUCCCAAAUACAUAAGACAGAAUAGAGGCUUUUGAAAUGAACCUUUAAAAAUAAUGGGAUGCCCUGAAAAUAAUAUUUAACCCAGUGACUGCUCAUCAAAGUGAGAACAAUGAUAUGCUGGAAUGGCACCUGGAGCGCGUUCCAUGGUCCGCACAGCUGGCUACCACAGAGCGUCUCAGGAGCAAGCUCCGGGCUUUCAAUGCCUUUGUGUAAGUGUUCACGUUCAGCUUAGCCAUGAGAUAUGGCUCCUACAUUUUUACACAGUAGAAAAGAAAGCCAUUUUCCAAGUUUGUUUCCACAGCAACAACAUUCCAUAUUGUCUUCUUCUGUAUCUAAACAUGAUUAAGCUUCAACCACAGGGAGUGGAAUAAAAUCCUUGCAAAAUAACCAGUGGAGACCGACUGUGAGGGUGAAAUCUCCAGUGGUCAUAUUCAUUCAACAAGCAGUGAUUACCAGCCUACCCUAGGAACUGUGCAAGGCCCUGGAGAUGUGGGGUUGGAGAAGACCCAAGGCCUGCCCUCUGGAUCGUCCGAGACUGGUCUCUCUCUGGUUUUCAAAUUGUUUCUUUUUUCCCGUGAUACAAAGACAACCCGUGUGUCAGCUUGUCCUCUUCAAGGGCAGCCUUCCUCUAACAGAUUUGGGGCAAAGGGAAGAGUUUGUUCUUGGCAUCUGUGUGGCAGCUCUGGGGGACUGGUGCACACCUCCUGCCUCUCCUGUCUCUGCUCUAGCUCUGGGUGCCCUCCCUCUCUCUUGGGGUGCUGCCAGCCCACACUGGCCCCAGUGGAUGGGUCACAUUGCAAAGACAGUGUUUCCCUUUAGUGCUCAAAUCUCUAGCUCCCAACCCCUCAUUUUCAAAGCUCCCUGCUGGGAUGUCCAAAAGUUAUCUCAAUAAAGGAGAAGAAAAUGUUGAAGAGUACACCAAAAGUGACUCAGAUGGUCUAUGGGAAAAGAACAACUAAAAAUGGUAAACCCUUCGCAGAGGAUCCCACUGUGUCUCCUGAAGGUACCAGCUUACAGCUUUUGUCUUGAGAUCAGCACUCCUCUCUGUCCUUCCAUCUGGACCCCUCUUCUUCAGCUCUCUACGUGUAAAAGCUCAUCCCUCCCCUACACGGUGGGGAAUCCCCACCCCU